rnacentral:lncRNA from 1 species
CUGGCAUGCACCUGUAGUCCCAGCUAUUUGGGGGCUGAGACAGGAGGAUUACUUGAGCCCAGGAGUUCAAGGCUGCAGUGAGCUAUUAUUGCACCACUGCAUUCCAGCCCGGGCAACACAGCGAGACACCAACUCUUAAAAAAAAAAAAAUAGUGGUAUAUUGGUGGUGGUGGUAUUAAUAGUGGUAGUGGUAGUAGUAGUAGCAGUAUUAAUAGUGGUAAUCAUGGUAAUAGUAGUGGCAUUAGUGGUGGUUGUAGUGAUAGUAACACUAGUGGUGGUGGUGGUAGUGGCAAUAGUAGUGGUAUUAAUGGUGGUAGGCGUGACCAUAGCACUAGUCAUGUAGUGGUAGUAAUGGUAGUAUUAAUAGAGGUUGUAAUGGUUGUUGUAGUAGUGAUAUUAACCGUGAUAGAAGUGGUGGUAGCAGUAGUAAUGGUAGUGGUUGCAGAGUAGGGUAUUAGUCGUGGUGGCAGGAAUUGAGUGGUGGUAGUAAGUAGUGGCAGUACCGGGGUGAUUUUAAUGUUGACGUGUCCUGAAGGCAUGGUGGAAUUUGAGGAUGUCAAGUGGGCUUGUUAACUUAAGGUACUUCCACUCUGGGAGACGGGGUGAGUAUAGCAGUGGGAGAGGGAUGCAACGUAAACCUGUAUUCUGGGCACCCAGUUGUCCUUACGAGCAGGAGAGCUGUAAUUCCCAGGCACAGCCACAAGGCGGGGGCAAUGAUUUGGCAUUCAUGACAUCGGAACACGCCUAGGGAAAAAUAACUGGCUCAGGAGCUGGGAGCACCCUGAGGACCCUAGGAGACUCCCGGGAGAUGAAGGAGAGUUGGUUGGCUGAGCUUCAGAAACAGUUUGAUCCUUGGGGUUUAAGACAGACAUCAGCAGAGCAGGGUCAGCCACAGGAAAGCAGGAAGGGAAAGUGCAAAAUGGGACGAGAGCAACAGGGGUGACCCCAAAACUGUGGUUCUCAACUUGUUUCCACCUGAGUGACAACAUUGGGACAGGGACCCUCUAUUAUGUGGUGGGUGUCCGAGAGUUUGAGGACCACUGAUCUGGACCAGAACAUGGUGGCCAGAGGACGCAGAGAGAAAGUUUAAAAGGUAACUUUCGUGAUGACAUACUCCUGCAAAGAUGGCGUGGGACAUAAUUCUCAUGGAUGGAGGUGAACAUGACUGUCCCUUGAUACAAGGGGUAGAAUUGAUUGGGUUGCUGUUGUCCUUUGAGAAUCACCACCCGACUCUAUGUGGCUGUUUCUUCAAUUGCAAAAUGAGAGAGCAUGUUUCCUUUUUAAUCAGCAAUAUUACCCUUAAGGAAACCUUGAAGGGCAGUUCUAUUAUUAAAUAUCUCAAGCACA